AGCGAACGUUAGCGGCGGGCCUAACACAUGCAAGUCGAACGAGAAUGAGGGAGCAAUCCCUCUAGUAAAGUGGCGGACGGGUGCGUAACACGUGGGUGAUCUACCUUCCGGCGGGGGACAACAGGUCCGAAAGGAUUGCUAAUACCGCGUACGUCGGCGAAGCCUCCGGGUUUCGUCGGGAAAGACGGCCUCUCCUUGGAAGCUGUCACCGGAAGAUGAGCCCGCGGCCCAUCAGCUAGUGGUGAGGUAACGGCUCACCAAGGCUAAGACGGGUAGCUGGUCUGAGAGGAUGAUCAGCCA
rnacentral:rRNA from 1 species